rnacentral:lncRNA from 1 species
UAGGCUUAAACUCCUUGUGCUUGAUUCUCUUAUCAUGCCAUCGUUUUGUUCUCUCUUUAUAGAUCCUUGAAUUGUGGUAGGCUUUCUCUCUCCAUUCUUCUAGCUCAGAUAGUUGCAUCAGACGAUUCUUGCUAGCGAGGUGGAGAUCCAUGUUCCAUUUCUUGAGUGCCCAAUGAGCCUUAAACUCUACUUCCACAGGCAAGUGACAAGUUUUUCCAUAUACAAGUUGAUAAGGUGACAUGCCUAUGGGUGUUUUGAAUGCAGUUCUAUAUGCCCAAAGUGCAUCAGAAAGUUUGUCCUUCCACCCCUUACCCA